CAUCCACUGUCAAUCAAAUGAAACCGGAAGAAAGGUUCCAUAUGAAAACUAUGCGUUCGGAUAGCGGUGUUUCCUUACCGAGCCGUUACGCCAUGUCAACUUCCCCGGUAAAGACGCGGAUCCCGCUCACGAGCUUCGGUCAUCUGAUCACCGAGGUGAAGAGACAGUUGUUUGGUAUGGAGGCUCCAGCCACUGUUAACCUGACUGGAUGGAGGAGACAUUUCAACAGCUACACACUACAGGGGAGACGCAACUUUGUCCUGGCUACCUAUGGUGUCUUAGCGUUGUCGGCAGCAGCCUAUAUGAUACGCCAUCGGAGUAAAGAGGACCCAAGAGUAGCCAGCCCCACUGCCUGACUGAAAAGACUGACACCCCCUCUCAAUAUCAAUGUCCCAAUGCUUUAUUGGCCUGAUAUUCACAUUGAUUUCCAAUACUACCGAAUCAGAGAUUCAUAACAGCAGC